rnacentral:rRNA from 1 species
GACGUAGGGCGCGAGCGUUGUCCGGAUUUAUUGGGCGUAAAGAGCUCGUAGGCGGCUUGUCACGUCGGGUGUGAAAGCCCGGGGCUUAACCCCGGGUCUGCAUUCGAUACGGGCUAGCUAGAGUGUGGUAGGGGAGAUCGGAAUUCCUGGUGUAGCGGUGAAAUGCGCAGAUAUCAGGAGGAACACCGGUGGCGAAGGCGGAUCUCUGGGCCGAUACUGACGCUGAGGAGCGAAAGCGUGGGGAGCAAACAGG